AGUCAACUCGGAAAAAGGGUAACAACCCGGAAAGUAGACUCACCGUCUUGGUCUAGAGACUGACCCCUGCACAGACAGACCCCUUCCCCUCUCUGCGAAAGGACCAAGCCCCAGAAGUCACUCCAUCUCCUACGGCUCGCAAUUUCCAGAGGCCCCCUGGCACCUUCCAGCCUGAUGUCGUGCGUCAAGUUAUGGUGAGUAGGGAGUGGCAUGUCGAUCGCAGCCUCCGACAUUCACACCCAGAGAGCCCCACAGACUCGCUCAGAGAACGUCUUUGAGUCCGGGGACGGUGGGGGCCGGCGAGGGAGGCUGGGGAUUGCAGUGAGAACGCCGAGUCACAGGGGCGCGGGGAGCAGCGCUGAGGCACGGCACGGCCGGCUAGUGGGCGACACCCCUCUCUCAGGCCCAGCGGUGCCCCCGCCCCCUUGGUGUCCAUCGAGGAACUGGAGAACCAGGAGCUCGUCGGCAAAGGCGGGUUCGGCACAGUGUUCCGGGCGCAACAUAGGAAGUGGGGCUACGAUGUGGCGGUCAAGAUCGUAAACUCGAAGGCGAUAUCCAGGGAGGUCAAG
rnacentral:lncRNA from 1 species